UCCUAUUAAAUUUUGAUAACAAAUAACCAUCAUUUAAAAAUAUUUUUGUUUAGGGUACUCUGAUCAUUUCAAUUUUUUUCUUAUAUACUAUUACAACUUUAUUCCAUUCAACCAAACAUAAUACUACUAUUAUACUUGUAAUGGGCCUAUUUUGCCUGGCCCAGACCCAAAUUAGAUAACUAAACCAAAUAAAUUAUUAAACAAGUUCAAGUUCAAGUUCAAGUCCAAUUGUUACAAGCCCAAAAUAACAAGAAAAGCCUAAUGGCCCACAUGGCCCAACAUUCAAGCUAGCAGGAAAUCCUAGUUUCCCUUAGCGCCGCACCCCCCACGUGCCUCGUCGGCACGUCCAACGCCUGAGGCUUGGCUCCUCUUGUCCCCUUGCACCAAAACGGAAGCCCCGCUCGUUGACCUUCCCCUCUAACCUGCAAACAGACCAAAAAAGGGAACAAAAACAACACAACACGCAAGGGCAACAGAGGCAAACAAAAUAUGUAUUCAGCUAUAUAGCCACAAGAACUUGAAAUGUAAUUUUUUACACGCAUAUUAAGCAAUCAAAAGUAAAAAACAGAAGAAGAAAAGGUUGAUUUUGAUUUCCAUUUCUCGUGUUCCUUUCGUUCUUUUUUUUAUUUUUGUUUUUAUUUUUUUGAUAAAUCUAUUUUAAACAAAAAAAAAUAAAAAAGAAUGAAACACUUACCUGAAUCGCCCUGGGGACGUGCGUUGAAGCCCCUCUCCGUCGUCGAAAUCGAGUCCAAAGAGAGAGGGGAGGCUUUCUUCUCUCGAGCUUUCGGGCUGAGAAGGCAUGGCCUUCGGGCACUUUAAAUGGGGGUUAAAACCCCCAUUUUCACGUGACUCCAACCAUUGCCCACAAUGGUGCCGCGACGAUGGCGGCGAUGAUGGGUUUCAAAACUAUAGAAAAAAGGGGGUUUCUGAAUUUUUUCC
rnacentral:lncRNA from 1 species